rnacentral:rRNA from 1 species
UGGGGAAUAUUGCGCAAUGGGCGAAAGCCUGACGCAGCAACGCCGUGUGAGGGAUGAAGGCUUUCGGGUCGUAAACCUCUGUCGGAAGGGAAGAACGGGUGAGGGUCUAAUAGGCCUUCAUUUUGACGGUACCUUUAGAGGAAGCACCGGCUAACUCCGUGCCAGCAGCCGCGGUAAUACGGAGGGUGCAAGCGUUAUUCGGAAUUACUGGGCGUAAAGCGCACGUAGGCCGCUUUGUAAGUCAGGGGUGAAAUCCCACGGCUCAACCGUGGAACUGCCCUUGAAACUGCGAAGCUUGAAUCCUGGAGAGGGUGGCGGAAUUCCUGGUGUAGGAGUGAAAUCCGUAGAUAUCAGGAGGAACACCGGUGGCGAAGGCGGCCACCUGGACAGGCAUUGACGCUGAGGUGCGAAAGUGUGGGGAGCAAACAG